rnacentral:rRNA from 1 species
AGAGUUUGAUCCUGGCUCAGGAUGAACGCUAGCGGCAGGCCUAACACAUGCAAGUCGAGGGGCAGCACGGUGUAGCAAUACACUGGUGGCGACCGGCGCACGGGUGCGUAACGCGUAUGCAACCUACCCAUAACAGGGGGAUAACACUGAGAAAUUGGUACUAAUACCCCAUAACAUCAGGACCGGCAUCGGUUUUGGUUGAAAACUCCGGUGGUUAUGGAUGGGCAUGCGUUGUAUUAGCUGGUUGGUGAGGUAACGGCUCACCAAGGCAACGAUACAUAGGGGGACUGAGAGGUUAACCCCCCACAUUGGUACUGAGACACGGACCAAACUCCUACGGGAGGCAGCAGUGAGGAAUAUUGGUCAAUGGACGCAAGUCUGAACCAGCCAUGCCGCGUGCAGGAAGACGGCUCUAUGAGUUGUAAACUGCUUUUGUACGAGAGUAAACGCUCUUACGUGUAAGAGCCUGAAAGUAUCGUACGAAUAAGGAUCGGCUAACUCCGUGCCAGCAGCCGCGGUAAUACGGAGGAUCCAAGCGUUAUCCGGAUUUAUUGGGUUUAAAGGGUGCGUAGGCGGUUUGAUAAGUUAGAGGUGAAAUGUUAGGGCUUAACCCUGAAACUGCCUCUAAUACUGUUGAGCUAGAGAGUAGUUGCGGUAGGCGGAAUGUAUGGUGUAGCGGUGAAAUGCUUAGAGAUCAUACAGAACACCGAUUGCGAAGGCAGCUUACCAAACUAUAUCUGACGUUGAGGCACGAAAGCGUGGGGAGCAAACAGGAUUAGAUACCCUGGUAGUCCACGCAGUAAACGAUGAUAACUCGCUGUCGGCGAUACACAGUCGGCGGCUAAGCGAAAGCGAUAAGUUAUCCACCUGGGGAGUACGUUCGCAAGAAUGAAACUCAAAGGAAUUGACGGGGGCCCGCACAAGCGGAGGAACAUGUG